rnacentral:rRNA from 1 species
GACAGAGGGUGCAAACGUUGCUCGGAAUUACUGGGCGUAAAGCGCGUGUAGGCGGACUGGUAAGUCGGACGUGAAAUCCCUGAGCUCAACUCAGGAACUGCAUCCGAAACUAUCAGUCUGGAGUGGUGGAGAGGGAAGCAGAAUUCCUGGUGUAGAGGUGAAAUUCGUAGAUAUCAGGAGGAACACCGGUGGCGAAGGCGGCUUCCUGGACACUAACUGACGCUGAGACGCGAAAGCGUGGGGAGCAAACAGG